rnacentral:tRNA from 1 species
GGUAAAAUGGCUGAUUUAGGCGAUAAAUUGUAAAUUUAUUUAAGAAAAUACUCUUUUACUA